AGCAAAACUGUAUUUAAUGUCUCACAGUCAUUGAUUACGGUAACGAACGAUGUAAGUUAUUAUUAUUUUUUUUAAAUGGGUGGCAUAGAGUAAAAAAAAAAUGAAGACACAAAUUAAAAAAUGUGAUAGUAAUAGGCCACACACUGCCUUCCCACACACAUAGAUAUUUAAAACAUAUCAUGUAAACUUGUUAACUUUAAUAAUAAUAUGUUAAUUUUUCUGAUGAAUAUGAUGUUUUGGAUGAAUUCAUUCACCUGGCUCCUGAUACAAUUUAAAAACAAAAUUCUGAAAACUUUGGUCUGUUGGUCAGUGUUGAAAAACAUUGUAUUUGAAAGAAAAAUGAUCUUCUAUAAACAUGUAAACUGGUUAGAUAUUGGUAUAUAGGGCAUUUAUAUGUUUGUAUAACUCUUGUUCAAUAUUUUGUUCGAUAUGUAUACUAAUAGACUACAGUUUUAUAGUGAUUUAUGUAAACACAUUAUUUUGUUAUAAAAAUUGUUUUUUAUUCAGAAAUGUCAAUAUAAAUUUUUAAAUUC
rnacentral:misc_RNA from 1 species